CCUCUUCCUAUCUGUGCCUAACUCGACGAACUGUCCCUGACGUCCUCCGCAUUCGCCUCCGGUGGGGGCGUCUAGCUGCUAUGGUAUCGACGAAUGGGCCGAGUAGCAGUCUCGGAGGGAGGACCUCUCAGGGUGGCGAUCGGCGCAGUGUGGAAACAGUUGGACUCAGUCGUCGGGAGACCCGUUCCAUGCUUGGUCUCAACAACCGGACGUCCCGCACGGGACGCCCGAGGACGUGUUCCCCAGGGUCAAACUACACAAGCUGAGCUGCUCCAUCAACUUUACCGUCCAAGUGGAGCACCGCUCUUCCUCUCCCUGGCACCACCUGCUGGACAACUGUGGAACGUGCGACGUGCGCUGCAGACAAGGCGAGACGCUGUGAUUCCUGUGUAGCUGAUGCUGAUACGCAUCGCAGGCUGCCACGAGCUGAGAUGAUGUGGCUGCUAUGCAGCCUGCUUCUCACUCCCAGUGCUGAGCCGGAGGUU